rfam:Triticum aestivum genome assembly, contig: Triticum_aestivum_CS42_TGACv1_scaffold_328292_4BS
UUAGUACUCCCUCCGUUCGAAAAUACUUGUCAUGAAAAUGGAUAAAAAGGGAUGUAUCUAGAACUAAUACACAUCUAGGUACAUCCCCUUUUAUUACUUUUGAUGACAUACACAUCUAGAUACAUCCCCUUUUAUUCCUUUUGAUGACAAGUAUUUCCGGAUGGAGGGAGUAUAAU